AAAAAAAAAGAAUGAUAUAGAUUUGCUUAGACUAUGUGAUGCUUACAAGCUUUUCACACAAUAUUUUUCACUUUAGUACUAUUGAGUUUGCUUCAAAUGGUAAUAUAUGAGUAUUGUUUGGACAAAAGCUACAAGACCUUCGUUCCUUGUCACACUAUAUGAAAACCCUUCAUAAUCUUCUGCAACCUUUUUGUAGGACUCUUCCUCAUUUUGCCGGUCCCUCACAUUUGCAACAAUUUGUUGUCGCUCUAGAGUGUUAUGUAACCUUAUACAAACAUCAUACAUGUAUUAUUACAAAGCUACAGUAUCAGACACCCAAGAAUGUAAUAUAAAUAAGCUCUAUGUCCGUCUUCCAAAUAGCAACCAUAAUGCCAAAAUAUCUUCUUUACCUCAAUACCGAAUACAUAAUAUUUAUCAAGAUUAAUAAGGCAGGGAAAAGGUAACACGAAAGAGUUCUCAGCAUAUCCAAUUCAGGAAAGAGUUUAUCAAAAUAUAAAAUAUGUAUAGAACCGAAAACAAUGUGUAUAUGCACAUCAAAUGCAAGGUUGAAAUAGUUUGCCUGGAAUGCACCUGCAUUCCGGUCGAUCAGAUGCUUUUGGUGCAAGCAUCCGAAACUGGAAGCAAUUUGCUAUAGAACAGGUCUUGUGUGUCUCUUCUGUCCUGUUGCUGAUAGCUCAAGUAAAAUUUAAAGUAUCUCUCCUCGAAUCUUGGCUGAAUAAAUUGAUCAUUCAAUUUGACUCUGUUAAAAGAAAUUAGAAGGAAAAAAAAACAUCAUGCACCAAGCAUAAUUUUAUUAACUUUUUGCUUCGUCAUAUUUGCUUUACUCCUUUAGCAAUUGCUCCUUUUCAUAUGCUCAUCCAUAUAUAUAUAUAUAUAUAUAUGGUAUUACGUCAGUAUCAGAUUUGGUUCAAAACUCAGUAAUCUCAAAUUUUAAAGAUUUACCUUUGGACUCGAACAAAAAUUAAUUAGCAAGUAUUGGUGUUUGAAUUAAGCUCUAUAUAUUUGAUCCUCUUCCCACAAAAGAUAGUAUAAAAUUUCUUAUACUUUUUUACUUUUAAAACAAAGGAAAGCAGAAGAAAAUGGACAAUCGGCCACACAUUCAUCUUCUUUUCCCUUUUUGUUUCAUCUCUGUUUUUCUUAGUUAUCUAUUCUUAUAUUUUCCUUUUUAUUUUCACCCUAUUCAGCAUAUCAUUUUAUUCAACAAAAUUUCAGCAAAUACAAAAAGAAAAGUAUAAAAACUUACUCUCCUUUUUAAAUUACACCCAUUUUCAUGCCAGUCGAAACUCCAUUCUUACUCCUAUAAUUAAUUCUGUAAAAUUAUCAUACUUCUCCUCUUAAGUUUGAGGAACAAAUCCCAAAAAAU
rnacentral:lncRNA from 1 species